CACAACUGAAGGUAAUCAAUUCAUAUUACAAAUAUAUUCAUGGUUUCGAAUUAACCUCUAGCCAAAAUAAAUUAGUUACACAUUAUUACAAAUUAAACCAAACGUAAAUCAUGAGUUUGAGAAGAUAACACCAAUAAGAACGGAGUGAAGCCCUCUGCCUCUGUGCUCAUCUUCUUCCCUGGCUGUCCUGCCCUCUGAACUGCCCUCUCACCUACCCUCUGACCUCUCUCCUGCUUCUCUCCUUUUCGCUGCCAAAGGCAGCGUUUCUUAUCUCCUCUUUUCACGCUGCCCAAGCAGCUCCCUCCAAUCUGUCCCGUACCUCUCUGCCUUCUAAUUUCCUUUUAUUUUCUGCCUUCCUGUGUCUUCCAGCUCACGCUGUCUCUCUCUACAUAGCUGCCAACGCAGCCUUUUCUUUCAUUUUUCGCACUGCCCACGUCUCCUGCUCUCUGCUGCAAAGGCAGCUCCUCCAAUUCCUCCAGCUGGACUCUCCCCUUUAUUUCUCUGCGUGAGCUGCAUUUCUUCUCACCCCGCGUCACCCCUAUUAUACUUUUAUUCCUCUUUCCGGUUUUAUCUCUCCGUGCCUCACUCCUUUUCCACCUUUCACGCCUGCUUUCUUCUUUUCUCCUUCUUGGAUUCUUUUGUUGUCUAGUUGGAAAGCCACGCUUGGUAAACAGAUAUUGGAAAAAUCAAUGCCGUGGUGCAUAUAUACAUUCUGCAUAGGUUUAGGGACAGAGAUUUAGUUCAAUUAUAAUCGCAAUGAAUAAACUAAAUUAAUUGACCUACAAAAAAAAUCAUAAUGUUCGAAGUAACUAUUCUGUUUAUUAUUUAAAACUCAUUUGUGCUAUUUUUAUUUUCUUUGCAUAACAGAUCCUAUAAACACAAAAAUAACGUAAAUAGCUCAAAAAUAUAAGGAACUGACUAAGAAAAGACGAGUGAAUUCGAAGUAAAAAUAUAUAUAAAUAUGAUCCGAUCAAAUACCCCCACACUUAACUUUUGCUAGUCCUCGAGCAAAACAAAGAAAACAUGAAAAAGUAAUAACAUGAAAAACAUUAGCUUCCCUCUAUGUGACCCUCAUAGAAUUUCAUUCAAGAAAACAAAUCAUCAAGAACCAUAGCUAGCAAGGAACUAAUCCAAGUUCAUCUUCCUUAUUCAAAUAUUAGCAGUAAUCUUUAAAUCAUCCUUGAAGUGUAGUGUGUGAGAUAGCCAUGCUAAUGCAAUUUCAAGUUUUUAUUUUUAAAAUCAUCAUAUGCAAACUAGCGACCUUCUCACUGAAUAUUCACUCAAUCACACAUGUGUUUAGUUUUAAUGUGUUUCGCUCAAAAAAUCAAAUGUGAAAUUUCUACCAUAAGCUUGCAUAAAGAUCACUUCUCCACAGUCAUAAUUGCAAAACUUAAAUCAAGAGGACUUUUAUUGGAUGUAAUGAGGUUUAGGGAUAGGGUUAUUGAAACGAUAGAAUAGGAAAACACAAGUUCCAAGCUACAUUGCAAGCAAUUCUUUUCUUUAGAUUUAUAAGAACUCAAGCUCUCCAGCAAUUCUUCUAGCACCUCCAACCACAACCUUAAACUGAAACUUUAAAAACUUUUUAUUUCAUUUGUAUACAAUCUUUCUUUUUCUUUUUCUUUUCUUCUCUUUUCUCUUUUUUUUUUUUUUUUUAAAUACAAACAUGAAAUACCCCCACACUUAUUCUUUUGCCAAACACCUUCAAAGUACUUCACAAGCGUUUCUCAUAAGACAAUCUUGCAUUGCUCGCUUGGAAAGGGUAAGGAAAAAAUGUUUCAGGUAUAAGGGUAGACAUAUCUGGUGAUAAGAAAUAAAAGGUUCAACAUACACGGCUCAAAUUGGCAAUCUAAUGAUAUCAUUUUUAUUUGGGAAACAUGGUUAUUUGGGCCAUAGUGGUAAACCUAAUGCCUCUAUCAUUUCCAAGUUCAUGCAAUCAAUGACAAACAUUUCGAAAGAUCGUUACGCAAGUUCUAGAGAUGUAUCUCACAUAAGUUCAUCACACAUGAAAAGAAUAGGAGUGUAUGAAAAAUGCACACACUUUCAAUAGGCUCAAAAACUCACAUAGGAUGUAUAUGGUCACUAAAUUCACAUAUGAAGCUUUAAGUCAUACUUUAGUUUCACAUUAACAAGACUAUGUGCAUUUGGUUUUUCAAAGAUGAUCAAACAUGUACAAAACUAACAAGAGAAUUAGGAAUUUCACAAAACACAUGUUAACUAAGUUCUUGAUGAUCAUGGUUCAAAUUUGAUCCAAUUAUAUCAUUGGGUCGGGAAACUAACAAAAAAUCUAAUUCAAAACAAUAAGGGAAACAAGACAAUAUUUUUGGAUUUUUAAAUUUUCCGAUUUUUUUUUUAUUUUUUAUUUAUUUAUUUUUUAAUGAAAACAAAACUAAUUAAGAAAACAAAAAGCAACAACACAGAAACAAAUGAAACCAGUUCGUAGUUUGAAGGUACAAAAAAAUUUCAAUUUGGUCAUUUUUUAUACUCUUUACCCCCAAACUUAAACUGGACAUUGUCCCCAAUGUCAGAAAACACUAUAAUGCAAAUAAAAAUAAAAUAAAUAAAUAAUAAGAAACAAAAUAAAACAAUUGGACUGAAAACUUCCCUAAUUUGCAGUAAAAUCAAGCGAUGACCCCCAAGCUAAAAUUCUGCAAUCAACUUCAAGGGUGGAAAUAACCAAAAGUUCCUGCAAAGAAAAGAAAUAAUUCAGUUUAGUAACACAAGAAAAUAUAAAAAAAAAUUGCAAACGAAAAAUUGAAAAUCACGAUAAAAGACAAUGAAUAGAACUAAUAAGUGAUCAUUGGUCGUGCUUGUUGACUUUCCACAGCUUUCCUCUUGAACAGGGUGACACUUAGCUUUUUACUUGCAAGUGAUGAUUUGAUGAUAUUGUACGGCGAGGCUUUGCUCUUUGGCGAUGUUGUUGUUCCUUAUUUGUUCUCCAAGCAGAUGUGGCAGCUUCUCUAGUUCUUCAGCUCGGACUCCUUGUGCUGGGUUGAUUGUACGAGCUGCAUUCUUUUCUGCUUGUUUCUGCUGCACAACGGGCAGGCACGAGGGAGAGGUGUUAGUCUGUUUCUUUCUUCAAUCUUUCCAAGUGCCCACCUCUUGCUCUCUUUCUCCUUGUCCCUAGCUGAAUUGUCUCCACAUGCUUCGAGGUAUCAUUUUCACUUCCCUUACUGUCCCCCAGGCAGAUGUGGUAGACGAAGAGAAAGCAUAAAAUGAUGAAGAUGAGUACUCGAGAGCAAGGCUAGGUAAGCAAUCAGGAAGGGGUUCCAGGCAGUUGGCUCCAGAUCGGAAGAUUGAUACCAAAUGCUGGCUGAUUGCUCUCUUUCUCCUUGUCGUAAAACAAAGACAAGGAAAAGGACAGGGAGAAAGCAUGAUAUGAGAUACUAUUGCUUUCAACCUUCAUGAUAUGAAAUACUUUUGCUCUGGAUGGGUUGUUUGCAGGGGUAUCCCAGGGAAUGAGGAAUACAGUGUGACUCGAGAGGGUUCUUUGGGAAUGCAUUCUCGGAGAUGAAGAAGUGCUGAGAGGGUGUGCCUUUGCUGUGGAAGGCGAAGGUAAAUACUUAUAGGACUUUUCUUCACAACCGGAACUAUUCUCUCACUCAUUGUCGGUAGCCGGUGGAUGGAUGAAUAGUACAAAUUACGCGCUUUCUGACAAAGAUGCCCGUAAUUUCCGCAAAGCUGCAAGUUGCAUGUGACGAGUGACGACACGUCUGGACAAAUUGAUCUUUUGAAAUCCGGGUUUCGGCUCGUGGUUUCUGAGCAGCCCAUUUUUUGAGAAAUGAAACGCCUCUUUUGAGAAAAGAAUCCGGCUUUUGAGAAAGGAAACUCCUCUUUUGAGAAAAGAAUCAGGCGUUUGAGAAAGGAGCCCCGACUCUUCGAUUUGCGAGAGGACGCUUCUCUGAGGAGCGCCUCUUUGAUUUCUUCUUUUUAUAGAGGCGUUAAUUUGUUCCACAACACACUUGAGCUCCCUCCUGUAAACACUCCCUCCUGUAAACUUCCAAAAUCUUAAUCAGUCCGACUCUCUUCUUUCUUCACCACCUUCAGAAAAUGUCUGGCCCUUCCGAUCGUCGUUUUGACUUGAACAUUGGUGAAGAGGCAGCUCCGCCUUCACCAGACAACAUAUGGCGCCCAUCUUUCAUAUCCCCUACUGGUCCUCUCACCGUUGGGGAUUCGGUGAUGAAAAAUGACAUGACCGCUGCAGUGGUGGCCCGGAACCUUGUCACCCCCAGAGAUAACAGACUGCUCGCUAGACGAUCUGAUGAAUUGGCGGUUAAGGAGUCUCUGGCUCUUAGCGUGCAGUGUGCCGGGUCCGUGUCCAACAUGGCCCAACGCCUAUUUGCCCGAACCCGUCACGUUGAAUCGUUGGUGGCUGAAAUACAGAGUCUCAAAGAGGAGAUUAGAGGACUCAAGCAUGAAAAUAAACAAUUGCAUAAGCUUGCACACAGUUAUGCCACAAACAUGAAGAGGAAAAUUGACCAGCUGCAGGAAACUGAUGGUCAGAUUUUACUUGAUCACCGGAGGUUUGUGGGUUUGUUCCAACCGCAUCUGCCUUCGUCUUCUGGGGCGGCACCGCGUAGUGAAGCUCCAACUGAUCAACCUCUGUUGCCUCCUCCUUCUGUGGCCCCGCCGACUGUUGAAGCACCGCCGACUACUGAAGCACCACCUGACCAAUGAAUGCUAUUAGUUUACACAUCAUUGUAAAAUAUUUUUACUUUUAUGUUUUUUUUUUUUUUUUUUUUAAAUAUGUAAAUUAAUGUAAAAAGACUUUGUUUAACCUUCCCCCACACUUAAACUACAAACUCACAGAAAUCAACCAAAUAACACAACCAACUAAACAAAACAAAAUGAAAGCAGUAAAGAUAAGGGUGUAAGAAUGCAAAUCUGAUUUGGUUAGCGAUUCCAAAGUCUCCCUUCGUUGAAUGCUUGGGUUGCCUCCCAAGAAGCGCUUGAUUUAACGUCUUUAGCGGGACGAAUCUUUCCUUUAAAUUCCCCUCGGCUCCAAAGCAUGGAAUUUAUCUUUUAAUGGGAGGUGAUACUUGAAAUGAUUCGGCAAUGGUUUAAAUUCAAGAGUGGGUGCCUGAAUCAUCAAAAUCAGAAAAAUGUUAGUAUAAAUAAAAAUUAAAAUUGGAGAAGAUGGCUUACUUUCUUUUUCCGACACAAACUCAAUGACAAACACCACAUUUUUGAACAUUUCCGGGACUUUGAACUUGGCUAGGUUUACUAUGAUGGUUGUGGCUUGUCCCGUGUCAUCAAACUCAACCACUUUGGGCUUGAUUGUCUCAUGCACAGCCUCUUGGAUGUAUUCUUGAUAUGCUUCAACCACUUCGUUCUCUUGAAUCCAUUUUCUUGGUGUGCAAGGUUCUUUGAACGUUUCAAUACCAUCGGGAACUUGUUUUGGUGCACCAAGAAUUGGGAUAUCACUUUGCACCUUUGGAAGAGCUUCCACAAUGUCUUUUUCACUCUCUUUGUUAUUUGGAAUAAAAAACCUGCACGGACAAAGGACAUUCGGUGGAAUAACAUUAGAAUGAAAUGAAUUUAGAACUUCCUCACCUGAGUUGGAUGACAUAGGGAUUUGAGGAGUUUGCAGCAAGAAUUCUUCUAAACUGCCCAGGUCGUCCUCCUCCUCUUCUGCUUGCAGCAGCAAUUCAUCCAUGUUCGGGCUGUGUUUGGAUGGUUCUGGGACAGCUUCAUCCUUCAUGUCACCUUCCAAAGUGAUGGAUUCAUCGAUUUCAAAAUCUUCCUUCGAAUUUUCAACAGUUGAGUUGGAGAGUUCACUUUGCUCUUGAAUUUGUACCAUGAAUUCCAUAAUCUCUCCCAUUUGACUCUUCAAUUUAUCCAACUCCUUGUCUUGAUUUUGUUGGUCCUGCGUCAAAGAGGUUAGUACUUGAAGAAUUUGAUCACUAUCCAUGGACAUACUUGAAUUAGAUUGGAAUUGUUGUGGGGUAUGCGGUGGUGGCUGUAUAGGUGUGGUGUAGAACUCCUCAUAUGGCUGCCAAUAUGCAUCUUGUUGAGCCUCCUUGGCUUGAUUUUGUGAGCCCUGCACCAAACAAUUUAAUUCAUUAAGAAUUUGAUUAUAAUUUAUUGACGAACCUGAGUUUGAUUGAGCAUAUUGCAUAGGUUUUGAAUAGAACUCCUCCUCUUGCUGCCAAUAUCCAUCUUGUUGGAAUUGUUGAGGUUCCCCCCACAUAUAAUUUGAAUGACCUCUCCAAUCUGAAUUGUAAGCGUUGGAAAACAUGUUGCCCCUUGAUUGGUUAUGGCCUUGAUAUCCCCAAACAUCUUCAUUUGCAGAAAAUUGAGGACUUUGAUAACCUUGCCCAUAGGGCACAUCAAAUGUAGGGACACUUGGCAUUGUGGUCCGUUCGGCAUAAUGAGUCAAUUGGGCAGUGAGCUGUGCCAAUUGAGCUUGAAUGGUCGCAAGUGCCAUGUCUUGCUCCAUUUGUACCUAAAAUCAAAGAAAGAAAAAUAAAUCAAAUACUAAAAGUAAAAUACACAAACACCAAUAUAAACAUAAACAAAAACAAAAAUAAAGGGAUUAGCAAAGUUGCUAAUCCCCGGCAACGGCGCCAAAAUUUGAUGUGAAAAUUACUUGACACACAAAUUAAACCCUCUUUUUUGACAAUUGUAGUAUAGAUGUAAGUAGGGUAUCGUUCUAGGCCGGGGAUUAGGAGGGAUUGCUAAUCUAUUCUAAAUUAAUUUAAAAAUAUUAAACAAGACUCAAUGACACAAAACUAGGCUAAAAAACUCUAAUAACUCGAAACACACUAAGAAUGACUCAAAAUAAUAAAAACAAUCAAAUUGGAUACUAGGAACUGAAAUGAACGGAAAUUGAAUUAAAAGACUAACAACAAUGAAAACUAACUAAAUAAUAUAAUUUAAUAAUGGGGGGUUUGGUUUUGACGAGAAGUAAAUUAAACUUAAAUAAAUUACAGAAUUGACAAAAACAUGAAAUUAAGGUGAAAGGAUAGGUGAUGGAUUAGCUAGAGGGUUCUUCUCCACACAUGACACAUAUGCAACCUAAAUUGAUUUUCAGUUGUUCUUUCAAUAAGUUGUGAAUCUCAACACUUCAGAUUAACCGUGAACAGCACUUUUUUAAUCUUCAAGUUUUUCCUUAAGUUAUUGAAUUGGACGGAAAACGCAUACAACAAUUCAAAACAUUCUUCAAAAGUCCCCUACGUGAAAAGCACAAUAGAGAUACAAUCAAAGAUCAUUAAACUUUGUGAAAACUAUAAGCAUUGACGAUGCAUUCGUAACUAUGAAAAGCAUGAUACUCUUGCCAAGAAUUCACUUAACACGAUUGUGGAUAACAACCUUCACUACUUGUGAAUAUAAGUUCAUAACGAUUAGGUGAAAUUCACUUAUAUUCUAGCAUCAAAUUCAUGCAUGUAAAUUAAGUAUGCAUCCUUAAUCGACAUACAAAAAUAAGUUAUCAAUCAAGCAGUUAAGCAAAUUAAAUCACAACUCAGAAAUCACAACUGAAGGUAAUCAAUUCAUAUUACAAAUAUAUUCAUGGUUUCGAAUUAACCUCUAGCCAAAAUAAAUUAGUUACACAUUAUUAACAAAUUAAACCAAACGUAAAUCAUGAGUUUGAGAAGAUAACACCAAUAAGAACGGAGUGAAGCCCUCUGCCUCUGUGCUCCUCUUCUUCCCUGGCUGUCCUGCCCUCUGAACUGCCCUCUCACCUGCCCUCUGACCUCUCUCCUGCUUCUCUCCUUUUCGCUGCCAAAGGCAGCGUUUCUUAUCUCCUCUUUUCACGCUGCCCAAGCAGCUCCCUCCAAUCUGUCCCGUACCUCUCUGCCUUCUAAUUUCCUUUUAUUUUCUGCCUUCCUGUGUCUUCC
rnacentral:lncRNA from 1 species